AGGGAAGAAAAAUAGAGACUUUCUUGCUCUUUGCUACACUGGGAGCAACCGGAGAGCUUGUGUGUUUAAGCUCUUUAAACAUCUAGAAGAUAACUCAUUACGGAUCAUCACGGCGGAUGGGAGGCAGGACUAGAUUGCAGCUCUGGACAGAGCAGCUUCUGAAAGCUCACAUUGUGAAUUUUAGCUACAGAUUGACUGCAAGUACAAGCCAGCAAUCCCGAGAGGACCCACAGACCCUCUGAAGGAAGCAGACUGCUCCUGUGGGACCCAGGAGACACCCCAAAUACUAACUUUUCAGUGUCAGUGGACAACAAGAAACAGAAGACUAAACUAUCAAGAUGGAGAAAACAUUUUUAAUCCUAUCUACUAAUGGAAACUACAUGUAGUUUAUCCAGAGCAGCCCCUAUGAAAUAAGAAGCAGCAUAGCAUAGUUAGGAGCAUAGAUUCUGGAACCAAAGUACCAGCUCCACUGCUUACCAGUGUGUGACCUCAGAAUACUUCCACUGGGUACAGACAUUCAGAGCUGGCAGUUAUUUGCUUCUCUGUGCAUUGAGGUUAUCGAUCUACUGCCUCCUAGCUUCCAGUUUCUAUUGUGCUAUCGAGAAGUUGACUGUCAGUCUAACCCUUAAUCCACUAAACAGAAUUAUGUUUUUCUCUAAAUCAUAUUUUUUCUGUAGCUUUAUUACAAUGUGUAUUUCAUUAUAUUUAACCUACUUGUGAUUUGUUGUGCUUAAGCCUAUUGAUUGCCUGUAAUCCCAGCACAAUGGGAGGCCGAGGCAGGCAGAUCACUUGAGGCCAGGAGUUCGAGACCAGCCUGGCCAACAUGGUGAGACCCUGUCUGUGCUAAAAAUACAAAAAUUAGCUAGGCGUGGUGGUACAUACCUGUAAUCCCAGCUACUCAGGAGGCUGAGGCAGGAAAAUCACUUGAACCCGGGAGCAGAGGUUGCAGUGAGCCGAGAUUUCACCACUGCACUCCGGCCUGGGCAACAGAGUGAGACGCUGUCUUAAAAAAAAACAAACAAACAACAAAAAAAAACUUGUUGAUUGUUGACUUUCAUUAUUUCUCAAAAAUUUUCUCCAAAUAUCCUCCUACCUAUUAUUUCUCUCCACUCUUUCUGAAAUGCUUAGUUAAGUUCAUGUUAGUCCUUACGAUCUUAUCUAGUAUUGUUUCUUCACCUAUUUUCCUCUCAUCUUUUUUACUUUCUGAUUCAUUCUGGAUAGUUUUUUUUUUUUUGCCUUAUCUGUCUGUACAUAAAUUUUCUCCAGGUUUGACUAACUUGUUCUAUUUGAUUCAUUUUCAAAUCUGCUAGAUCACAUUUGAUAGAUUUCUGUCCCCUGAAUCCAGUUUCAUUUUGCCUUUUAUUUAAAUAGUAAAUAGUGUUGUUUUACAGACUGUCAUAAUUCUAGUAUCUAUAGAUUUGCAGGAUUUCUUUUGAUUAUAGUGUCUGCUGGUUCUAAUCUGUAAUACUUCAUUUCUUUGUGUUGUCUUUGACUGUAUGCUGUAUAUUAUUAUAUGCUGUAUGUAAUACCCUAAAAAGGCUGGGCAUGGUGGCUCACGCCUGUAAUCCCAGCACUUUGGGAGGCCAAGGCUGGUGGAUCACCUGAGGUCAGGAGUUCAAGACCAGCCUGGCCAAUAUGGCAAAACCUUGUCUCUACUAAAAAAUAUAAAAAAUUAGCCAGGCAUGGUAGCAGCACCUGUAAUUCCAGCUACUCAGGAGGCUGAGGCAGGGAGAGUUGCUUGAACUUGGGAGGAGGAGGUUGCAGUGAGCCGAGAUUGUGCCACUGCACUUCAGCCUGGGUGACAGAGUGAGACUCCAUCUCAAAAUAAAUAAAUAAAUAAAUAAAGUAUUAUUUGUAGAAAUAACUUGAAGCCUG
rnacentral:lncRNA from 1 species